AAAACACAUAAAUAGUCCAAGACCAGUUUAAGAUGGUGCUGGUGAAGCUCAGCGGCUACUUGCUGAUGGCAAAUAAAGCAAAGGAGCUUUAUACUUUGUUGUCUGGUGUCAAGGUGAAGAAUCCAAGAUUCUCCGUCUGUCCAUCUACCUAUAUCCCUUCAUCCAAGAAUCUUCUUUGUAUUCACAGUACCCAAAACAGGAGCAUGUGGGCCAUGGCAGUCAAGGCUUUAACUGGGCAUGGCACUUGAUGAUGAUGAUUCACAAUAGAACAAAGAAAUCCAACAGAAUCAAUGAAAAAAAAUUAAAACAAACACUGAUAAAUUGUACAAUUAU